rnacentral:rRNA from 1 species
AUUGAACGCUGGCGGCAUGCCUUACACAUGCAAGUCGAACGGUAACGGGCCUUCGGGUGCCGACGAGUGGCGAACGGGUGAGUAAUACGUCGGAACGUGCCCGAUCGUGGGGGAUAACGAGGCGAAAGCUUUGCUAAUACCGCAUACGAUCUACGGCUGAAAGCAGGGGACCGCAAGGCCUUGCGCGGACGGAGCGGCCGAUGGCAGAUUAGGUAGUUGGUGGGAUAAAAGCUUACCAAGCCGACGAUCUGUAGCUGGUCUGAGAGGAUGAUCAGCCACACUGGAACUGAGACACGGCCCAGACUCCUACGGGAGGCAGCAGUGGGGAAUUUUGGACAAUGGGCGCAAGCCUGAUCCAGCCAUGCCGCGUGCAGGAUGAAGACCUUCGGGUUGUAAACUGCUUUUGUACGGAACGAAAAGCCUUCUUUUAAUACAGGAGGGUCAUGACGGUACCGUAAGAAUAAGCACCGGCUAACUACGUG